CCGUCUGUGGGAGGCCUCAUUUCUAAUCUCUCUCACUCUGCACAUCAGACCUUCAGCUGGAAGCCAUGCAAAUAUGGUUGCCUCGUCUGGCUCAUGGAGGCCCUGACUCUGAAGGAGGACAGAGAGCCAGUAUGGGGCACACACUUUUGGGUGGCAAAGACUAUAACAGUGUGGGACAAUAGGAGAGGCAGCCUUGCCCUCCCUUUCCUGUGAAAAUAGUACCAAGGUUUAAGUAUAGCGACAAAGACAGAGCUAGGUUUAAGUGCUGGCCGUGCGACUGAGAGAGAAGUCCAGAGUCUAUGUUCUCAUCAUGGGGCUGCUGGAAUUAAACAGGCUACAACAGUGCACAGUAUUAUUUUUGUUUUCUUGGCAACUCCCAGAAAGCUCCAAGGCCAAAACACUUUUUAGUCCUGGAAGGUUGUCCCUGGAAGCAGGCAGCCUUUGGUAGGCUGCUGGGGGGAUCCUGCAAGGAGAAGCAGCAGCCACCCUCUGGCAUCACGUCACCCUCCCGUGUGCUCCCCCAACAACUGAGGCCCACACCCAGCUCUUCCUACCUCUUCAAGGAGUGUACAUGGCCUAUAACAAAUUAAAAAAAGAAACAGACUUUCUGGGGACCUGGGAUACUGGACUAGAGAACGCAGUGCCUAAGCCUUAAUGAAGCAGGACCAGACGACAGCCCAGUGCUCCUACGUGACGACGGCAGGGCUGGGGCAGCUGCAGGACACGAGCGGGACGGGAGAAGAGUCCAGAGAAGCAGGUCAAUAAAGUGCCUCCUCUGCACCAGCCAAAUGCAGUGGGUAGGCAGAAGCCAAAUAGGCUCAGAGAGUCCAAGUCUUCCCCAAGGCUUCAGCUCCCUGAAAAGCCAUGACUCACACAGCAGAAGCUACCCACAGGCCAGGCCAGGAGCACACAGCAUGCCCACGUGUUACCAAUUUCUAGGUCUCUUCCUCCUCCUCCUCCCAGGGGCACAAGAGGUUAUCUAUCAAGAGGAGAAAGAAGAGUGAAGGCCCUGACUGACAGCCAGGAGGGCUUAUCCAAUUACAGCUGAGAUGUGACCUAGACCCUGGGGAUUUCACAACCUAUCCCUGGGUUAUGAACACACGCUAUUACCUCAGGACUGACAGGUUCCAGCAGUUGAGAAAAUAUCGCAGGUAUUUUGGUAUGUGUGACUCUCGUGGUACUGAAAUAAUUUCUGACUCCACACCCUGGGAAAAAGAACACUGGACCUCCAGGGACACCUGUCCUGGGCCAUGCAGGAGAAAUCGGAGUACGUGUGGCAUAUCGUAAGUUGCUUUUAUGGUGGUUUCUUCCUUUAAACUAAGAUACCAGUUGUACCUAAUCAAGCAGUGUUUCUAGAUUUUUCUAACCUCAACAAACUUCUGAUAAAUUAGACUUCUUAAGAACAAGGAUCAGAUUGGGGCUGGCAGGUGGUGUGGUGGUUAGGGUGCUGGACUCCCACAUGGCCAACCACAGUUCAAGUCCUGGACCUGGCAGCUUGCUUUCUCACUCUCCCUUUCUCUCUGUCAGUUUCUCUCUGGCCAAAAAUUGAAAAAGAACAAGGACCAGAUGAUAGGGAGAAGACCAAGUUUCUCUUAUGCCUUUGAAAGUAGAUAUACUAGGAAUGAACGCAGUGUGGCCUGAGGUCAGGGGUAAGGAAGUUCAGUGGCCACAGAAUCAGCAGGAUCCAGGCAUCCUGGCUUGUUUUGUCUCACUAUGCUGAGUAGUUUGAUCAAGAAAAACUGACUUCUCUCCUUUUGAGAACUUAUUAAGGUACUGAAAAGUGGCCAUAGAGUCAGAUAAAUACAUUUUUAAAGAUUUAUUUUAUUUAUUAUUUUUAAAAUUAUUGUUAUCAUUCUUUAA